rnacentral:rRNA from 1 species
UACAGAGGGUGCGAGCGUUCAUCGGAAUUACUGGGCGUAAAGCGCACGUAGGCGGCUUGGUAUGUCGGGUGUGAAAUCCCCGGGCUCAACCUGGGAACUGCAUCCGAAACUGCCUUGCUCGAGUAUGGGAGAGGGAAGUGGAAUUUCCGGUGUAGCGGUGAAAUGCGUAGAUAUCGGAAGGAACAUCAGUGGCGAAGGCGACUUCCUGGACCAAUACUGACGCUCAGGUGCGAAAGCGUGGGGAGCAAACAGG